rnacentral:lncRNA from 1 species
UAAUUUUUUUCUUAACGGGUCAAAACGGGUUACCCACGUGUUACCCGCAUGUAUACCCGUAAGAACUUGUUAUUAACGGGUCACCUGAUAAUGACCCGAUUAGUUAUCGUGUUGACCUGAAACUCGUUAUUUUCGUGUCAUGUCAGAAACUGCCGGGUCUAAUAGGCAAUAUCAUUCACCUGUAAGCAGUAUCAUUCGCCUGUGGGCCGGACAUUCGCCCGUAGGCAGGACAUAUGAGUAACCACUAAAUAAGCACAUAAAAACAUCGAACAUAAUCUUUCCAAAGUAUAAGUAUAUAUAUCUGAACGGAGCUCAGUAGCUCAAACAUCAUAUCUUAACUUAUGUUCAUAGUAUAUAAUCAUCCAUCAUAUACCACAAAGAACGUAAAGUCGAUAAAGCAUGAUAAUGCAUAAAACGUGAAACCAAUUUACUCAUAAACGUUUCAUAAAACAACCAUCAAAUCAUGCUUUUCAUGUAUGCAUUUCUAAUAGUAAAAUAUGCAUUUUAGAAGGGGUCCAUUCACCGAUACUUAAUCGUCGAAGAACCAUGCAAACAAGAGACGACGAAAAUGCCAUACAAAAUUGCACCUAAGCAUAUAAAGGUACCAAUUAAUAAAACUAUACUAAAACGGUUGAAUUUCGAGAAACAGACAUCAUAAACGAAUUCAAGACGUCGAAAAACAUAAGAGAGGACCUAGGGUACCCCCACGCACCGCCGCAUGCGCCGAUUUGGGGUCAUCGGAAAAGUCGCUGACGCAGAGCACAUUACCUUUAGUGAAGGCGCGUGUGCUCUAUGCGCAGGCCUAGGAGCGGACCCAUAUGCGGCCUGGGUUCUGGGCUGGGUUGGUGUUUGGGCUUGGGUUAUGUAGUUGGGCUUAGGUUGAGUGGGCUGAAGGCUUGGGUUGCAAAGAAUGUGUUUGGGCUUGGCCUAGUGGGCUGAAACUUUAGGUUGGGCUGGGUAGCUUGAGGUAAGAGUUUAUUUUCCUUUCAUUGUUUUCUAUCAUUUUAAGUUUAUAAGUAUUGCAACAAUGAUUGUAUAUUUAUAGUUCUUUUUUUUUUGUUGGAGUAUACUUAGAACUAAAAAUUAAGGUUAGCUCUAUACAAGGAUUACAUGCUAUUUAAAACAAGAUCAAUAUGUAUGUGUGUCCUGUUAACCACAUCCAUUGCAUCAUUUUAUAUAUAUCACUGUUCUAAAAAUCCCCGUCUAGGCGCUAGGCGGCUGGCCACCGCCCCGAUUAAUGCCUAGGCGUUUGAAAAUUAAGAAAUGGCACCUAGACUUGCUAAGGCACCCGCCAAGCCCGCCCAGACCAGCCUAGGCACCCGUCAAGCCUGCCCAGACGAGCCUAGGCACCUGCCUAGGUUGUGACUAACCUAGACAAAAAAUAGAUAACUUUCAUUUUGCAUUUUAUUUUUUUCAAUAAAUUGUAAGAGACUUGUUGAAUAGUUAAAUAAACACACAUUAUAUGCUUGUUUACCAUGUUUUCAUUAUGUUCCAAUACUCCAUAAUAUAUAUGUCAUUCUAUUCUGGUAUAAAUAGGCACUUAUUUACGCGAAAUAUAAUAGAUUUAUUUUAAUCUGCCUAGUCCACCUAGGCGCCUAGGUGUUAGGCCCCAACCCGAUGCCCGACUAGUGACUAGCUUCUUUUAGAACCUUGAUAUAUAUGUACAAGGGUAAUGCUAUACAAUCAAGUAAAGCUUUUGAGGAUACCUAGAUUGCAAAUAAUCGUCCAAGGAAAGUCUUCUACUCACUUGAAGCCUUUAUGUUCUUAUGGUGAUAGAACCCUUUUCUUAGAACGUUUUUUAUGUGAGCAAGGAAUUCCUACAUUUAUUGUGGCAAUGGCAGCCAAGUUCCAUCUAUCGUGGAAGUAUGGUUAUUGUCUCGUUGCACCAAAUCCUGGUUUAAAUGGAGUAGUGGAUUAGUGGCAAAACACCUUAAGUAAUUAUUUCAAAGCAUUCAGAAUGUGCUUCCACAAAAAUAGGAUGUUGACUUUUUCACGUAUUCAAACUCUAUAGAAUUAUAUUAUCAACAUGUAACCUCUCCUCUUUUAUCACAACUUGUUAAGUCCAAAUAGGAUUCUUACAUUCUCCCACAUGGACGAUAACUAAUUGUGGUUUGGAAGUUCCAUGUCUAAUAUGAAUUCAUUCCUUAGUGAUCACUUUGAGUUUUACGCAUCUAACAUCUUAUUUACAUUUACCAGUAAUCAUUUAAGGAUUGAACUUUAGGAAAUAAUACAUGUACUAAUACUAUAUUCACCCUGAAAUCACAAUCCUCAAAUUCAUACCGUAUAAUGCAAGUGUAAUAAAAUAUUUUUACAUAUUAAUAACAUAAUUUAAUUUGUAUUUCACUUCAUCUCUCCCAUUGAACAAUCCAACUAACCAUUGCCGAGCCUUUGUUUGGCUGCAAUGUUCUCAUAACACUUGAAUUAACAAGCUUCUUUAUCACUCAAGUUCCUAAGCAUUACUUCAACUUGUAUCAGCUCACUGCAAGCAUAUAUUUGUAUAUACAAACAACUGAAAGAAUCAUCAAGGUUGAAUUCAUGAGCAUGUCAAAUGAAAACCAUGAAGAACAAAACAUGAAUUCAUACUUAUUCAAAUAGGGAAAUUCACUCCCACAUAACAACAGAAUCAAAUGAGUCAAUGACUCCCAUAUUCAUGAUCUGAUCCUUGAACACUCCAGCAGCCAAGGGCUUUAUGAGAAGAUACUCCUGCCUUCACCUUUUCCUUUAUGGACAAAUAUUUCAUGUCCAUCUUUCGUACAUGUUUAUGUUACACCUUUGGGCAAGAAACAUAAACAACCAUCAUUUUGAAAAUAGAUUAUGUAACCUUAUUAUAUAACAGUCUUGUAAAAGAUUAAGAAAACAACCAAGAUUUCAAGUCUUUGAAUAAGAAAAUAGUCAACUUAAUUCUCUUAAAAAUGUUAUACCCUGAAAAAAAUCCCAAACCAUUCAUACAUUCCUCUCUUUGGAAAAGAAUAUUGACAUGUUACAAGUUUUAAAACCAUAAUUUACAUAAUCUAUAUGUACACAAGCAUGUACUACAAAAUCUCGCUCAUAAGUUUUUCCUGAAGAAGCAAAGGUUAGUGCAAAAAAUAUUAUCGCAAAAGACUUUAUUGUUAUGAUUGCAACCAUCUAAAAAAGCCAAGAAACAUUAGUAAGGUGAGCCCUAAACCCUAAUAAUUAUUUGGUCUAAACGAUUUAAGCAAUCUUUAACUCAAAAUUGCCUCAAACUGAAGCAGCCGUAAAACAAGUUCAUUUAAUCAUGCAUGUCUAUGUCUCACUUUUGAGCGAGACAUAAAAUGCCUUAAUUCUUUACUGUAUAGCCAUCACACAAUAGAUUAAGAUAGAACACAAUUCAUAGCAUAUAAAACAGUGCUACUGUUUAUGCCUUUAUCUAGUAUGCAUGCAUAAAACUUUAACAUUUCAAUUUGAUGGUAAGUAGGAGAAAUCAACCAAACAUCGUAUGAACAACCAAUUUCCUACACUAAUGGUAGAAUCUAAUUAUGGAUUAUUUUCACAUAUAUCAGGUUCCAACUUGCAACUUACCAUCUACUUCAAAAAAAACAUUCCUCAGUAGAAUCUAUAAACCUGUAUCAGAAUAGGAAGCAAAUACUACACCCAUCAAAAGGAAUAAAGUUAUUGAAAUAAAAAGCACUUAUGCUCUCAGAGAAGAAGUUGUUUAACUUAAUUUCAUCCCCACAAAAACAACCGAGAUGCACCACCAAAAAAUAUCAAUUAAGUCACUUUCUUUAACUAACAUUAAUUCUAAGUGUCCCCAUUUAUUAGCAUCCCCUCAACAAUAACCAUAUGAAAAAUUGGUAGAAAAAUAAAGAAUCAACUUUCCAAAAUGAUACAUACAUCGAUUCAAAUUGAAGCUAAUAAACAAAACCACAUCCAGAUAAAUCAUAAAAAGACAUUACUUACUUCCUGAGCCUGAGAUGCAACCUUCCCAGUUCCAGUGCCCCACACGAGCUCAAAGGCUAGACGACAUCAACUCGCCAUGCAGUCACUGAAGACGAUAACAUUUCAUGUCAGCUUAUUACAUUAACACUUGAUUGAAACACAGUACAAUACAACGCUUUUGAGCAAGAAGUAUUUUUUGCAAGAACAUACAAACAAUGCAAUUUUACCAAAUGGCUACUUAGUUUAACAUUAAACAGUUUCUUGAUCCAGGUGUUUGGACAAGAAUUAGAGCCUAUUUAACACUCUGCCAAAUACCAUGUCCUAAUUCAUUUGUCGAACCAUUAAAAGUAUUCCCCUUUUUUUAAGACACUUAAAAGAAUUAAUCCAAAUUAUAUCCUCCUGAGAAACAAGAGUAAUAGAAAAGAUAACAGAAAAAGAGGACAAGAAAUUCAGCAUAUUCCCAACUGUCUUAGUGAUGCGAGAAUUACUUGACACACAAAUUAAACCCUCUUUUUGACAAUUGUAGUAUAGAUGUAAGUAGGGUAUCGUUCUAGGCCGGGGAUUAGGAGGGAUUGCUAAUCUAUUCUAAAUUAAUUUAAAAAUAUUAAACAAGACUCAAGGACACAAAACUAGACUAAAAACUCUAAUAACUCGAAACACACUUAGAAUGACUCAAGAUAAUGAAAACAAUCAAAUUGGACACUAGGAACUGAAAUGGACGGAAAUUGAAUUAAAAGACUAACAACAAUGAAAACUAACUAAAUAAUAUAAUUUAAUAAUGGGGGGUUUGGUUUGGUUUUGACAAGAAGUAAAUUAAACUUGAAUAAAUUACAGAAUUGACAAAAACAUGAAAUUAAGGUGAAAUGAUAGGUGACGGACUAGCUAGAGGGUUCUUCUCCACACAUGUUAUACUUGCAUACAAAAUGAUUUCCAGUUGUUCUUUCAAUAAAUUGUAAAUCUCAACGCCCCAAAUUAACCGUGAA